CUCCUACGGGAGGCAGCAGUAAGGAAUAUUGGACAAUGGGGAAACCCUGGAUCCAGCGACGCCGCGUGUGUGAAGAAGGCCUGCGGGUUGUAAAGCACUUUUAGUGGGUACAAAAAGCUAACGGAUUAAUACUCUGUGGUCUUGAUUUAACCCAAGAAAACGCACCGGCUAACUCUGUGCCAGCAGCCGCGGUAAUAC
rnacentral:rRNA from 1 species